UACAGAGACUGCGAGCGUUAUUCGGAUUCACUGGGCGUAAAGGGUGCGCAGGUGGCCAAGUGUGUUAGGCGUGAAAGCCCGGGGCUUAACCCCGGAAUUGCACCUAAAACUACUUGGCUAGAGCAUUGGAGAGGGGAGCAGAAUUUAUGGUGUAGCAGUGAAAUGCGUAGAUAUCGAGAGGAACACCUGCGGCGAAGGCGGGUUGCUGGGCUGACACUGACGCUGAAGCGCGAAAGCUAGGGGAGCGAACGGG
rnacentral:rRNA from 1 species